AGCCCCUGGUGCCGGCGCGGCGUGUGACGCAACGGCCCACGCGGCCCGGCAUUUUUCUCUAAAUCGGCAGUAAAUAUAGCUGAGUAAAAUUACCUUCGUUUUCUUCCUUCUUUUUUAACGGAAUUGUUUUUAUUAAAAAUCCUAUUUAAAUAUGCAGAAAAAGUGGGUAUGUCCUGUAAUAUAUCCUAGCUUUUCUUGUUUACAGGGUACUCAGAAAAUAUGUCUCCCUUAGAGUCCCACAGAAACGUUCUCAGUGCGAUCUCUAUCAAGUGCUAUGAGUCUUGAUAAAUUGGAGAAGAGCCCAAGAGAAAUUUUUCCUCCCUUGAUAUAAAAGGGAUCGGUGAAUUUUAACUUUGGAGUCCUCUGUGCUAAGGAUGCUCAGCUUACAGAUGAUGAAAUGUUCAGUAACGUAUUUGCUGGAGCUCUGCUUACCGAAGCUUUGGGUAAAACAAGCUUUGGGUUCCUUCUGUCCCACUGGGAGUUGCCCGAUUUGGUUGCAUCUGGUGAAAUUCACCCUGAGACCUUGGAGAACCAGCUCAAACUACGUGAGAGCCAUUUGCAGUUCUCUCCAGACACCUGGAGAAUGGGUGAUGCUUCUGAGGAUCUGGCAAGUGUACUUCUAUCAAAACUCAGUCUGUGAAAUUUCUGGGGAAAACCCUUCUGUGUACCGAAGGGUUCAAACUCUGGUGAGGAUCCAGUUAUCAGGUGCUCACCUGCAUGGUUCCAGCUCUUAAAGCGAACACUUGUACUCUUGCCCUGUAGUUUAUAUCUAUUGUAUUUUUGUUAUUUUGCAAGAUUUUACGCCUUUGCAAAAUAUUGUGCAUUUGACUCUUUGGAACCUGUCAGAUCGUUCUUUGGUGCAGCACCACCUCAUGGGACACUUGGCUGCUGUCCUGAAGGGGUUGGUCGUAAAUCCUGGAGGGUUUAUAAGUCUUCUGUCCCCAGGGAGCUAUCGUGCUUUGUUUGCUUUUGUUCUGUUUGUUAGGCGCUGCUUCUCAUUGGAAGUAUGAAUUUCAAACUACCCUGUUCUUUUUUUAACUGUUUUCCUGGUUCUCUCCCUACGGCAGGGAAAGACUCUCGUAUCCUUGUCGUCAGGCUCGGUGCUGUCCAAGAAGAUACAGAGACUAAAACAAUCAUAAGAAGCAAAAUAUGACUGCAGGGAAAACAAGCUGGAGAGAACAAAAGGUGGUAUUGUUAUCCUUACCCUCUAUUAGAAACAUCCACUGUGCUUUGAUGUGGUAGCUGCCAGGGGCUUGUUAGCUCUUUGUAGGCAGGUGUGGGUGUUCACUUGUAGGUUUUUUCUCUGGACAAGUCAAUUCAAUCUUUGCUAAGCUUAUAUUUGCAGAUUACUCUCUAGCGCAGUCCAGCAUGACAUUUUUGAAUGUUUUAAAAAGAAACUAUGUUACUUGGAAAUUGCUAAUGAUGAGAAGCUUUAGGGAAAAAUAAGAUUUCAGGGUUGGGAGAUGUGAGAAGAAUUUUGUGGGGAUGUUAGACUGAAAUAAAGUGCACUUGAAGCUGGACUGGCACGCUGGCAGAUCCCCUAUUAAAGAGUAGUGCUUAAAUUAGCCUGGGGGUUGCCCAUUGUUUCUGUAGAAAUCAAUGUUUCCUGGUCUUCAGAAGUAAGCUGCAGCAGAGCAGUUCCAGUCCGUCCGGGUACGUGUAAUCCAGCUCCUGACGAUCUGAGCACACGGAGCAGCGCUCAGCUGCUGUGGGGGCUCAGGGAAGGCAGAGUGUGCAUUGUCAUCUUCCUGAACCUACGGACAAAUCAAAGUGAGAAGCCACAGGGUGGAAAUCACUCGCAUAUAUGCUAAAUAAAACUUGCAGAUUUUUUU